GCUAAACGCGAAGAACCUUACCUACUCUUGACAUCCAGAGAACUUUCCAGAGAUGGAUUGGUGCCUUCGGGAACUCUGAGACAGGUGCUGCAUGGCUGUCGUCAGCUCGUGUUGUGAAAUGUUGGGUUAAGUCCCGCAACGAGCGCAACCCUUAUCCUUUGUUGCCAGCGGUUCGGCCGGGAACUCAAAGGAGACUGCCAGUGAUAAACUGGAGGAAGGUGGGGAUGACGUCAAGUCAUCAUGGCCCUUACGAGUAGGGCUACACACGUGCUACAAUGGCGUAUACAAAGAGAAGCGACCUCGCGAGAGCAAGCGGACCUCAUAAAGUACGUCGUAGUCCGGAUUGGAGUCUGCAACUCGACUCCAUGAAGUCGGAAUCGCUAGUAAUCGUAGAUCAGAAUGCUACGGUGAAUACGUUCCCGGGUCUUGUACACACCG
rnacentral:rRNA from 1 species